GGCGAGAUGGCCGAGCGGUCCAAGGCGCCAGACUAAGGUAGACCAGCUCAUUAGGUGAGCAACCCCAUCUGGUCUCUUCGGGGGCGCGAGUUCGAAUCUCGCUCUCGUCA